rnacentral:rRNA from 1 species
AUGACUCUCGGCAACAGAUAUUUCAGCUCUCGCAUUGAUGAAGAAUGUAGCGAAAUGUGAUACUUGGUGUGAAUUGUAGAAUCUCGUAACCAUCGAGUCUUUGAACGUAAGUUGCACCCCAAUCCAUUAGGCCGAGGGCAUGCCUGCCUGGGUGUCAUACACCAUCGCCCCCCCUCAACCCUCCACCCAUCGGGCUCCGAGGGAAGGGGGCCGGCGGAAAAUGGCCUCUCACGAUCCCAUCGAUCGCGGUUGGCCCAAAAGUGAGUCCCCAACAAUGACAACACUAUGACCGUCAGUGGUAGAGCUCCCGGCAUGCCUCAUCCCUGGUGACGCAUGCUUAUUGUCCACCCGGACCCCUCGCUAGUGUCACGACCCCAGGUCAGGCGGGAUCACCCGCUGAGUUUAAGCAUAUCAAUAAGCGAAGGAAAAUAAACUUACCAAGAUUCCCCUAGUAACGACGAGCGAAUCAAGAAGAGCCUAGCUUGAGAAUCGGGUACCCCCAGUGACCGAAUUGUAGUUUAGAGAAGCGUCCUCAGCGGCGGACCCAGUCCAAGGCCCCUAGAAAGAGGCACCAAAGGGGGUGAGAGCCCCGUUGUGCCUGGACCCUAUCGCACCACGAGGUGCUGUCUGCGAGUCAGGUUGUUUGGGAAUGCAACCCCAAUCGAGCGGUAAAUUUCAUCCAAGGCUAAAUAUGGGGGAGAGACCGAUAGCAAACAAGUAUCGCAAGGGAAAGAUGAAAAGGACUUUGAAAAGAGAGUCAAAGAGUGCUUGAAAUUGUUGAGAGGGAAGCAGAUUGGGGUCGAUGAUGUGCCCCAGUUGGAUGUGGAACGGCGAGACCCGAUCUGCCGAUCAACUUAGGGCGUGGACCGAUGCAGGUCACGGUGGAGCUCCCCAUCUGGCCCAUCUUAAAAUAUGGACCAAGGAGUCUGACAUGCAUGCGAGUCAACGGGUCAAAAAAUCCGUAAGGCACAAGGAAACUGAUUGGUGGGAUCCCUCAUAAGUGCACCACCGAUUGACCUGGAUCUUCUGAGAAGGGUUUGAGUGUGAGCAUGCCCGUCGGGACCCAAAAGAUGGUGAACUAUGCUUGAGCGGGGUAAAGCCAGAGGAAACUCUAGUGGAGGCUCACAGCGAUACAACGUGCAAAUCAUUCAUCUGACUUAGGUAUAGGGGUGAAAGACUAAUCAAACCAUCUAGUAGCUGGUUUUCUCUAAAGUUUCCUUCAGGAUAGCUGGAGCCCUCUACGAGUUCUAUCGGGUAAAGCCAAUGAUUAGAGGCAUUGGGGGCGCAAUGCCCUCGACCUAUUCUCAAACUUUAAAUAGGUAAGACGGUGCGAUUGCUUCAUUGAGCCACGCCAUGGAAUCGAGAGCUCCAGGUGGGCCAUUUUUGGUAAGCAAAACUGGGGAUGCGGGAUGAACUAAAAGUCGGGUUACAGUGUCCAACUACGUGCUAACCCAGAACCCACAAAGGGUGUUGGUCGAUUAAGACAGUAGGACAAUGGUCAUGGAAGUCAAAAUCUGCUAAGGAAUGUGUAACAACUCACCUGCCGAAUCAACUAGCCCCGAAAAUGGAUGGUACUUAAGCGCGCGACCUAUACUCGACCGUCGGGGCAAAGGCCAGGCCCCAAUGAGUAGGAGGGCACGACGGUCAUCGUAAAACCUGGGGUGCAAGCCCGGGCGAAGCGAUCGUUAGUGCAGAUCUUGGUGGUAGUAGCAAAUAUUCUAAUGAUAACUUUGAAGGUCAAAGAAGGGAAAGGUUCUAAGUGAAUGGCACUUGCACAUGGGUUAGUCGAUCCUAAGAGAUGGGGGAAGCCCGUCUGAUAGCUCGUCCCGUGCGAGCUUCGAAAGGGAAUCGAGUUAAAAUUCCUUAACCGGGAUGCGACGACUGACAGCAACAUUAAGGAGUCCAGAGACAUCGACGGGGGCCUCGAGAAAAGUUAUCUUUUUUGUUUAAUAGCCCUCCCACCCUGGAAACGGCUCAGUCGGAGGUAGUGUCCAGCGACAGAAAGAGCACUGCACGUAGCGUGGUGUCCGGUGCACCCCCGACGGCCCUUGAAAAUCUGGAGGAUCAAGUGCUAUCCACACCCGAUCAUACUUAUAACCACAUCAGGUCUCCAAGGUGAAUAGCCUCUGGUCAAUGGAACAAUGUAGGCAAAGGAAGUCAGCAAAAUGGAUCCUAACCUCGAGAAAAGGAUUGGCUCUGAAGGCUGGGCACAGGGGUCGCAGUCUCGAACCCGUCGACUGUCCGUGCAUUACUCAAGCUGCUCCCGUAGUGAGAGCGAGAUGUUGCGUGCCGAUCGGAGGAUGGACUAAGAACGAUUCCCUCGAGGGCCUUCCCCGGGUGACGAACAGUCGACUCAGAACUGGUACGAACAAGGGGAAUCCGACUGUUUAAUUAAAACAAAGCAUUGUGAUGGUCCCUACGGAUGCUCACGCAAUGUGAUUUCUGCCCAGUGCUCUAAAUGUCAAAGUGAAGAAAGUCAACCAAGCACGGGUAAACGGUA